AUUAUCUCAAGGCUAAAAGGAUUUUUGUUUAGGACGUAUGAAGAUUAAUUCAAUUAAAUAAAUACUUAUUGAGCAUUGACUAUCAGGGGAAUACUGGAAGACAGGCCUGCAGAGGAACAUGUCAGAAUGAUCACACUAUUUGUGGGUGUAUAAUCUGGAAGCUGUACCAUGAUUAGUUGAAAGAGAGACUGAAGGCAAGAAAAACAGUGUGGUGACUUGGAGAAGAACCAAGACAUAAGGAAAUGAAGACCUACUCUUGGGUGAUGACAGUAAAAAGAAUGGAAUAGGCCUGAGAGACAGGAAAAGGGAGAACUGAUGAGACUCAGUUACUGAUAGGGCUAAAGAGGAGGAAGGACAGGGCGAGGUGGCUCACGCCUGUAAUCCCAGCACUUUGGGAGGCAAGGCAGCACUUUUGAGCCCAGUAAUUCAAGACCAGCCUGAGCAAC
rnacentral:lncRNA from 1 species